CGUCGUAAGCUUACCCUAUGAAGGUCCUACAGUAAGCAAAAUGGGCAAAACCCAAAACGUCAGGUCGAGGUGUAGCUUAUGGAGUGGAAAGAAAUGGGCUACAUUUCCUUCACUAAAGGACAUUACGAACGACUUCAUGAAACUGAAGCCCCAAGGUGGAUUUAGCAGUAAACAUUAACAGAGUAUUAUUUUGAAGCCGGCUCUGAAACGCGCACACACCGCCCGUCACUCUCCCCAUUUAUUAACUUAACCCAAGUAAUUAACUAAAUACAUAAACCAGCGGGGAGGCAAGUCGUAACAUGG
rnacentral:rRNA from 1 species